GUGUUGUAUGAAAGGAGAGAAGGUCAGCACACUCGUUGACAAGGACGGAAGAGGCCCUUGGGCCUUAUAGCAUGCAUAUGGUUAAGGCAUUGCCACCUACUUUAUGGCAUCUAACCACAGUUUUUA
ensembl:snRNA